rnacentral:rRNA from 1 species
GAGGAAAGUGGGAGGCGUGCCUAAUACAUGCAAGUCGAGCGAACGGACGAGAAGCUUGCUUCUCUGAUGUUAGCGGCGGACGGGUGAGUAACACGUGGAUAACCUACCUAUAAGACUGGGAUAACUUCGGGAAACCGGAGCUAAUACCGGAUAAUAUUUUGAACCGCAUGGUUCAAAAGUGAAAGACGGUCUUGCUGUCACUUAUAGAUGGAUCCGCGCUGCAUUAGCUAGUUGGUAAGGUAACGGCUUACCAAGGCAACGAUGCAUAGCCGACCUGAGAGGGUGAUCGGCCACACUGGAACUGAGACACGGUCCAGACUCCUACGGGAGGCAGCAGUAGGGAAUCUUCCGCAAUGGGCGAAAGCCUGACGGAGCAACGCCGCGUGAGUGAUGAAGGUCUUCGGAUCGUAAAACUCUGUUAUUAGGGAAGAACAUAUGUGUAAGUAACUGUGCACAUCUUGACGGUACCUAAUCAGAAAGCCACGGCUAACUACGUG